AUGACGCCGGAAUGUCUGAAUGGAGCAUCCUCGCUGUGGUGGGAAGCUGUGGACCAGGAGGAACCGAAGCACAAAACCAUAAGCUCAACGACAAACACACGGCGUCGGAACAAACACAUGCUGAGAAUGAAGGAGCCCAAAGCUCGUCAGGCUCCAAACUUCUAUUCCCGUUGUCGGGAGACGGGUGGAGACGCCCACACACCCACGCUGAUUGAAGCGACAACUCACCGAUCCUGCAGCGGUUGUCAAAAGCCAUCGGCGUGAAACGCAGGAAGCCGACAAGCUGGCGGAGAGUGGGCGCCAACAGAAAAGAGCAAAUUAAAGCAGUUCAUCACAAAAUAACUGCGGGAAUACAUUAAACAUGAGAUAGUAUUGAUGUAUAACGACGUCAGAACGUCCAAGCUGGAUUUUAAUUUCACUUUUAAUAACUUAAUUUUAAAAACUAGGACGAAAGUCAUUUUUCCCUUGAAAUAAUCUGAUCUACUUUGUUGAUCUAUCAUUGUUAAGUAUUUAUAAGAGGAAGGUGAUAAUAGAGGUAGUUAAAUCCAAGGUAGCUAUGAAGCUUUUUGUGUUUAAUAUUAGGUCUGAACUAGAACAUUUGGGAAACCUGUAGAACAUGUUCUUUAGGUUCUUUGGAGGAAAUUUGGACUUGGAAGCCAUGACAGUGUGUAUGUGAGUGUGAUGCUUCCCCCCCCCCCCCCCUCCCCCCUAAUAUACGCUGCACUGAGCUACUGAGCUAAGUAAUAUGGACGAUAAGCUCACUUAGCGCGACAACAGAGGCCAACUCUGUCAUCCCUGAUAAAGAUGACGAAUGUAAAAUUGGGAUUUUCUGUGUUUAUAUGGAGUAUAACAGUUUGACAGUGUUUUCUCUUCUACAUUAUAUUUAAAGAUUAGCCCCCCCCCCCCACACAAUGUCAAUUUAAAGUCAACAGACAGGAGAGUCCAAACAUGGCACUCGCCUAAUCAAAAGUUUGCACUGUGCAGAAGUUAUUUCCCCGUUCCCCGUCGUACGGAGCCCAUCAGGAGAUUGGGCCCAGUCAAACACCUCGGCAUAUUUGCCGUCACCAUUGGUUUGUUGAGCAUUAAAAAU
rnacentral:lncRNA from 1 species